GAAAGGUUAGAAGAGAAUGAUGAGGACAACGUGCUAGGUGAACCUCAGAAGAUUCGAAAUGUGGGUUGCAUUCCAUAAGAACAUUUAUACCCUGCCCAUUCUUGACCUCCGAAGAGGGACUCAGGAUGGCUACCAACAGGUACUGGUGCCGGGCAGUGGCAUAGGAAACAGUGGUGGACUCAUGUCAUGAGCCAAUAUUGAAUAAAUUCCAUGUGUAUAUGUUUAAGAGCUGAUUUCAACUAUUGGGUGUGUGCCUUGCAUCAGAACAAAGGGAGGAGUAACUUCUCUCCAGAAGAUCACUAGAAGACCCAUCUAAGUGCUUCUUGUGCUUUCAAAUGUAAGCAGGGCAAU